rnacentral:rRNA from 1 species
ACGGGAGGCAGCAGUGAGGAAUAUUGGUCAAUGGCCGAGAGGCUGAACCAGCCAAGUAGCGUGAAGGAUGACUGCCCUAUGGGUUGUAAACUUCUUUUGUUAGGGAAUAAAGUGAGGGACGUGUCCCUUUUUGUAUGUACCUUUCGAAUAAGCAUCGGCUAAUUCCGUGCCAGCAGCCGCGGUAAUACGGAAGAUGCGAGCGUUAUCCGGAUUUAUUGGGUUUAAAGGGAGCGUAGGCGGUCUGUUAAGUCAGCGGUCAAAUGUCGGUGCCCAACAUCGGCCUGCCGUUGAUACUGGUGGACUUGAAUGUGCACAAGGAAGGUGGAAUUCGUCGUGUAGCGGUGAAAUGCUUAGAUAUGACGAAGAACUCCGAUUGCGAAGGCAGCCUUCUGGAGCAUGAUUGACGCUGAGGCUCGAAAGUGCGGGAAUCAAACAGGAUUAGAUACCCUGGUA